AAAAAUAAAUGAAAAACAGGGAACACCGCUUUUACUACAAAAAACAUCCAUUUAUUAAUGAUGCAAAAUGUUGCAAAAUGAAACACAUGAGGUGGCCCUUACAAUGGACCAAUACGUUUCGGGAAAAACGUAUGGCUUUCAUGCAAACAGAAUUGAAAAAUAGAAAUAUUACUCUUCACGUAGAGUGACAGUGAUGAUCUUUUAGGCCUUCC
rnacentral:lncRNA from 1 species